UACGGAGGGGGCUAGCGUUGUUCGGAAUCAUUGGGCGUAAAGGGCGCGUAGGCGGCCUGCCAAGUCGGGUGUGAAAUCCCUCGGCUCAACCGAGGAACUGCACUCGAUACUGGCUGGCUAGAGUCCGGGAGGGGAUGGUGGAAUUCCCAGUGUAGCGGUGAAAUGCGUAGAUAUUGGGAAGAACACCGGUGGCGAAGGCGGCCAUCUGGACCGGAACUGACGCUGAGGAGCGAAAGCUGGGGGAGCAAACAGG
rnacentral:rRNA from 1 species